UACGUAGGGCGCAAGCGUUGUCCGGAAUUAUUGGGCGUAAAGAGCUCGUAGGCGGCUUGUCGCGUCGGUUGUGAAAGCCCGGGGCUUAACCCCGGGUCUGCAGUCGAUACGGGCAGGCUAGAGUGUGGUAGGGGAGAUCGGAAUUCCUGGUGUAGCGGUGAAAUGCGCAGAUAUCAGGAGGAACACCGGUGGCGAAGGCGGAUCUCUGGGCCAGUACUGACGCUGAGGAGCGAAAGCGUGGGGAGCAAACAGG
rnacentral:rRNA from 1 species